ensembl:lncRNA
CCAGCCUUUGAGGUUUUUAUUUCUACAUUUCACUUUUUUAUUCUUGAAUCAUUUAUAUAUCUAGAAGGUGUGGUCAUCAAUAAAAUACAUGUCUAAAUAAAAGGACGCUGAUGCAUAAGAGAUGACAUCAUGGGCUCAGGAGUGAGACACUUUCACUUCACACACACUUCAUCCGUUAUUACGAUCAAUUAUUGAUCAGAGAAGCUUUGAACGCGGCAGCAUCACAAAUUAUUAAUCACCCUUUUAUGUGUUUGUAUUAGCCGACCUGUCAAUCAAUUUGGGAACCUGUGGCUUGAGGGUCGGCGGAUUUACUAAAUUAUUAACGAGGGUUUGAAGAAAAUGAUUUUAUAUAUAAAAUAUGAAAUUCAAAGGUUAUAUUGACAGAAUUAUGACAUCACAUUACAGGUCAUUUAGCUGACGCGACUUACAUCACACUUUGAACACACGGCUUUAUACAUUUUGCCCGGGGAGCAAUUAGGGGUCAGGUGUCUUGCUCAGGGACACUUGGACAUGGGACAUGGGGCAGCCGGGACUCGAACCGCCAACCUUGCGGUUUCCAGCGUUCCCUCUCUACCCCGGCGCCACGUCGACCCCUUGAGAUUGGGAAUAAUCUUUAUAUGGAUUAUUUAGAAUAUAUUCUGGAUCUAAUUGUGUGUAUUAAGUCAUAAGGUAACACAGUUAAAAGUACACAAAGACUCUUGUUGUGUCUUUAUUAAUGAUCUUUAUUAGUGACAGGAAGACAUCAGCCCCACAGGAAGUGGACGAGACAGCCGACGCCAUCAGCGAACCGUGUGUGUGUGACAGUGAGACUGUGUGUGUGUGUCAGUGUGUGUGUUCGUGUGUGUGACAGUGAGACUGUGUGUGUGUGUGUGUGUGUCAGUGUGUGUGUGUGUGAGACUGACAGUGAGACUGUGUGUGUGUGUGUGUGUGUUUUGAAGAUAAAGACCCACUGUGGCUCUGAACAGUAGCUCACCUGUUAGAGACCAUUUUUGAGACACUGAAGAAGAGGAGGAGUAAGAGGGAGAGGAGGAGGAAGAAAAAAGGAGGAAGAGGAGGAAAGUGAGACUGUAAAAGAGUGAUGAACAACCUUUAGAUCAACUGAACGCCGAAUUUGUAUUAUUAUAUAAAUGAAUAAUAUUAUUUUGUUUUCUAACCAGGAUCCUGUUUUAUUGUGAAAAUCCCCCUGCUUCCUGUCCCUGUGUGUGUGUCUCCCCUCUGUGUAGUCAGACUAAUUGCCUGGUAUUUAACAUGAAUUGCUGUGUUUGGGUGCUUACGUGUCAAUUAAGUGUCUAUUCAUGUUCCAUCGGCCAUUUAGCCAAUUAGAGGUCGUUAGUGAGCGAUGUCACCGAGCACCAAUCACGUGUUCCGGGAGCCCGAUCGCUAACGAGCUGAUCACUCUUAUUAUGAGGUGUCAUCAUCUCAUCUAAAUAAUUCACUUUUUGAUUUGAUUCUCAUUAAACCCACACAAGUGGGGAAGUAACCAUGAAGAGAGGAGCCCCGGAGAUCAACUCCCUUCUGAUGAUGUCACCAGAGAAGCCCCUUGGGGGGGGAGGGGGGGCUGCGGGGGAUGUUUGUUGUGAUUUUAAUGAAACUGGGUUGAUGAAGAAUCCAUUUCAUUCUGCAGCAGAUUGGGCUCAACGUGGGUCACGUGACGUUGUCAUGUGACCCUCAUGAGACAGUUUGAACCUUUUGAAGUUUCCACUUUGAUUACUACGUCUGUUGUGUCUCUGUGUUACUUUGUGUAGUUUGUUUGUGUGUAGUGUGUGUACCUCUAUGCUGCUGACCCGCCCCUCCUGGAAGGAACAGUCCUGCAGGUUGUUGGUGCAGACGUGACGAUAUUUACACCAAUGACACGGGAACACGCUGCUGACACAGGAAGUACACCUGGGGAGGGUAAAAACGCUUGUUGUCAUGGAGAUGAAAUAUUAUUCCGUCACAAGUCUGAAUAAAAACCUUCAAUCUCAUUCUCUUAUGUCUUAAUAUCGUCUCACUUCCUGUCUGCGUCUCAUUGGUUCCCAUUGAAGACACUAAUCUUCAGUGGUGUGUGUGUGUGUGUGUGUGUGUGUGUUUCUGAGACUGAUGCUCUGAGCUGCUGUUACCAUGGCAACCAGCGAGUCUGCCGCACAGAUUAUGUUACUCCUGCAAAUCUGCUCCCCCAAGGGGGAAGGAGAGGAUACAAGCAGGGAGGAAGCAAGAUGAGAGGAGGAAACAAAGACAAGAAACAAGAGGAGGAUGAAGGGAGAGAGGAAAGGAGGGUGGAUAGGGUAGUAAGGAGUGUAGGAGUGAGGAGAGAGGGGUGCAGGAGUGAGAAGUAAGGAGUGAGGAGGGAGGAGUGAAGAGAGAGGAGUGUAGGAUGGAGGAGUAAGGAGAGAGGAGUGUAGGAGUGAGGAGUGUAGGAGUAAGGAGAGAGGAGUGUAAGAGUGAGGAGUGUAGGAGUAAGGAGAGAGGAGUGUAGGAGGGAGGAGUAAGGAGAGAGGAGUGUAGGAGUAAGGAGUGUAGGAGUAAGGAGAGAGGAGUGUAGGAGAGAGGAGUGGAGUAAGGAGUGUAGGAUUGAGGAGUGUAGGGUAAGGAGUGUAGGAGUAAGGAGAGAGGAGUGUAAGAGUAAGGAGAGAGGAGUGUAGGAGUGAGGAGAGAGGAGUGCAGGAGUAAGGAGAGAGGAGUGUAGGAGUGAGGAGAGAGGAGUGUAGGAGUAAGGAGAGAGGAGUGCAGGAGUAAGGAGAGAGGAGUGUAGGAGUGAGGAG